GUGCCCGGGGGAGUGGAGACGGCGCCGAAAGAGCCAAGGGCAAUGCCAGUAUGCCAGUAUGCCGGACGGUCCUGGCUGCUCUGGACUCCCCCAGGUUGUGAAGGCAGAGAAUAGGGCGGCCCGAUGGUGGAGAGAGCGGCCAUUGUGGAGAAGCUACCAAGUGGUCCGGAGCAGGAGGAGGAAGGCGAGGAAAGCCUGCGGUUUGACCUCAUGGUGCCUUUCCUGACCUUCGUGGAUGCAGAGACCUCGUGGUACCGGACCCGGGAUGAGGAGUCCCUGGAAGGAGCAGUUCACGG
rnacentral:lncRNA from 14 species